GGAAAAAUAAAAAAAAUCGAACAGUCAAAGUGCAGGACUCUUCGUUGCUUCCUGCUCUUUUAAAUUCUGCUAGUGGUUGACCAAUGGAUCAUUGGCUGCUGUGCCUUGUAAUGGUGAACUAUGAAGCUCACUGGAACAGCCGUCAUACCCACCGCUGAUAAAGGCGCAUCUCCACGGAAGUUCUAAAGCAUGGUUAAUUGGAAAGGAUGCCGAAAGACAGCGGCCACAAUCAGCGCUGCCAUAUACGAGCAUCACCACUCUUCACCAGCAGCAACACUUAUGCUACGUUUAGACAAGGCAAGUGAAUUGAGCAAGUCGUUUGAAUCGAACGCGAAUUGAACGUGUAAACACCUUAAUUCAAAUCACUUGAACGAAAAGAAAGUUGAACAUGUUCAACUUUUGGCAAGUCAAUUGAAUUCAACUGAGUUGUUGCAUUAUGCUACGUUUUGACAGGGCAAGUGAAUUGAAUAACUCAGUUGAAUUCAAUUGACUUGCCAAAAGUUGAACAUGUUCAACUUUUUUUUUCGUUCAAGUGAAUUGAAUUAGGGUGUUUACACGUUCAGUUCGCGUUCGAUUCAAGCGACUUGCUCAAUUUAAUUGCCUUGUCUAAACGUAGCAUUACGGCAUGGCCAAUGAGAAACUAUGAAGAGCGCUCAACA